rnacentral:rRNA from 1 species
GACGAGGAGCUUGCUCCUCUGACGUUAGCGGCGGACGGGUGAGUAACACGUGGAUAACCUACCUAUAAGACUGGGAUAACUUCGGGAAACCGGAGCUAAUACCGGAUAAUAUAUUGAACCGCAUGGUUCAAUAGUGAAAGACGGUUUUGCUGUCACUUAUAGAUGGAUCCGCGCCGCAUUAGCUAGUUGGUAAGGUAACGGCUUACCAAGGCAACGAUGCGUAGCCGACCUGAGAGGGUGAUCGGCCACACUGGAACUGAGACACGGUCCAGACUCCUACGGGAGGCAGCAGUAGGGAAUCUUCCGCAAUGGGCGAAAGCCUGACGGAGCAACGCCGCGUGAGUGAUGAAGGUCUUCGGAUCGUAAAACUCUGUUAUUAGGGAAGAACAAAUGUGUAAGUAACUAUGCACGUCUUGACGGUACCUAAUCAGAAAGCCACGGCUAACUACGUGCCAGCAGCCGCGGUAAUACGUAGGUGGCAAGCGUUAUCCGGAAUUAUUGGGCCUAAAGCGCGCGUAGGCGGUUUUUUAAGUCUGAUGUGAAAGCCCACGGCUCAACCGUGGAGGGUCAUUGGAAACUGGAAAACUUGAGUGCAGAAGAGGAAAGUGGAAUUCCAUGUGUAGCGGUGAAAUGCGCAGAGAUAUGGAGGAACACCAGUGGCGAAGGCGACUUUCUGGUCUGUAACUGACGCUGAUGUGCGAAAGCGUGGGGAUCAAACAGGAUUAGAUACCCUGGUAGUCCACGCCGUAAACGAUGAGUGCUAAGUGUUAGGGGGUUUCCGCCCCUUAGUGCUGCAGCUAACGCAUUAAGCA